UACGGAGGGUGCUAGCGUUGUUCGGAAUCACUGGGCGUAAAGGGCGUGUAGGCGGUCUGUUAAGUCUGAUGUGAAAUCCCCCUCGCUCAACGAGGGAACUGCGUCGGAUACUGCCGGGCUAGAAUCCGGAAGAGGCGAGUGGAAUUCCUGGUGUAGCGGUGGAAUGCGCAGAUAUCAGGAGGAACACCAAUAGCGAAGGCAGCUCGCUGGGACGGUAUUGACGCUGAGGCGCGAAAGCGUGGGGGAGCAAACAGG
rnacentral:rRNA from 1 species